rnacentral:rRNA from 1 species
AUUACCCAAUCCCGACACCGGGAGGUAGUGACAAGAAAUAACAAUACAGGGCAAUUGUCUUGUAAUUGGAAUGAUGGUGACGUAAAAUCUCACCAGAGUAACAAUUGGAGGGCAAGUCUGGUGCCAGCAGCCGCGGUAAUUCCAGCUCCAAUAGCGUAUAUUAAACUUGUUGCAGUUAAAAAGCUCGUAGUUGAAUUUCUGCGUUGCCCGACUCGGCUACUUGCCUUGUCUGGUUUCGCUUUUGGGGUUUUCCCCUUUUUACUUUGAGAAAAUUAGAGUGUUUCAAGCAGACUUGUGUCUUGAAUACUUCAGCAUGGAAUAAUAAAGUAGGACUUUGGUUCUAUUUUGUUGGUUUGUGAACCUUAGUAAUGGUUAAUAGGAACGGUUGGGGGCAUUCGUAUUUAA